UUAAAGAAAAAUUGGCACGUACUAAAGAGCUUUAUUUCAAAUAACUUAAAUAAUUAACAAAAAUUAAUGACAUUAAUAACAAGUAUAUAGGGGGAUAAAAGUACUAAUUAAUAAUAAUUUUAAUAACGGCAUAAUCAGCAGAAAAGACAUAAAAAAGUAUUAUAAGCUUUAAAAUGUGUUACAUUUAAGCACGAGUUUAUUAGAGCAAUUGCACGUGGUCGACUCUGCGUACAAUACGCAUGCGUACAGAAGCAGUAGGAGGCAUAUAUGGGUCGACAACUUUGGAAUCAUUUGGUGUUUGGGCUUACUAAUCUAAGCAUGUGAAAAUUGUAAGUAAACUUGUAUUCAUAUAAACGUCCAUAUUGAGUGUUUAUACAUUAAUAAUUUAUUGAAGUAAAGAUUGCAGAGAUAACACAAAAGCAACGAACAGAUGAUGAUUGUCAUAAAAAUGAAAAUAAUUUGGAUUCUGUAGAACACAAGAAAAUCGUUGAUAAAAUUAAAAGAAGCUGAUUACAAAUCUUACAAAUAUUUAAAGAAAAUGAUAAGAAAUUCUUUAAUGCAUUAGACUAUACUGUUUGGAGCAUCAGACUAUGGCUGCAUUUGAGGAGCGUGCUAUUAGCGCUAUUGCAUCUAUCUUUAUUGCUGAUUAAUAGGUGCAAAACAAGGAUAGAAUAAGAAAAUAGCGCUAAUCGCUUCUCGAAUGCAGCUAAAUAAGAAGAUGAUAAUUUUUCUAAACGAUAAACAAUGGAUAAAAUAUUUCUAGUAAUUUAGAAGUUUCUAGUAACAACGGCAAUUUUCAGCUAGAAGAUAUUGGAAGGCAAUUCUGAAAAGAAGAUCACUAUUGCUGAAAACAUUGUAAAAAGAAAAACAAAUGAAUAAAAACCUCCCAUGCAGAACAGAAUUCAUUAGUAUCAUCCAAUACGAAGUAGAUAUGAAGUAGAAGAGAGUACAAAUGCUGGAUUUCUACGAUCUCAACAAAAAGCAUCAAAUAAUUACGAUGAGAACUAUACUACUCACUUGUAUAUUGAAGAUAUCGAAAUAAUAGCUACAGUAAAAAAUGACUUCAAGAAUAGUAUUAUUCAAACUGUUUACUAACUUAUAUUAAAACAUGCAAUUAAUAAAAAUCACAGAAUAUA